UACGGGUGGUGCAAGUAUUGCUCUGUUUAAUUGGGUAUAAAGGGUGCGUAGGUUGCAUAAUAAAAAGAGAUUAAUAAAUAAACUUUUGAAAAUGUUAUGCUUGAGUACAUUAGGCGAUUAUGGAAUUUCCUGCAUUAGAGUUGAAAUACGUGUAAAACAGGAAGAAACACCAGAGGCGAAGGCAAUAAUCGAUAAUGUACUGACGCUGAGGCACGA
rnacentral:rRNA from 1 species